GGGCCAUCUGGCUGCGACAUCUGUCACCCCACUGAUUGCCAGGAUAGAUACGGCUGAUCUGGCUGGCUAGGCGGGUGUCCCCGUCGGAGGACAAGCUGCGUGCUCAGUUGAAAAGGACGACCUUCUCCGCUAGAGGAGGACCGGUCUUGGGUCAAGGGUCUACAAGUAGCUGUGCUCCCCUGCUAGAGCCUCCAAACAAGUUCUCAAGAAAGUAGUACAUACUUGAUAUUUGCUAAGAAGGUAGAUACCAAGUGUUCUCACCACACACAAAACGUGACAUAAAAUGGGUUAUUUAUGUUAAUAGCU
rnacentral:snRNA from 1 species